CAAGGCUAAAUACUCCUGACUGACCGAUAGUGAACCAGUACCGUGAGGGAAAGGCGAAAAGAACCCCGGCGAGGGGAGUGAAAAAGAACCUGAAACCGUGUACGUACAAGCAGUGGGAGCCUCUUUAUGGGGUGACUGCGUACCUUUUGUAUAAUGGGUCAGCGACUUAUAUUCUGUAGCAAGGUUAACCGAAUAGGGGAGCCGAAGGGAAACCGAGUCUUAACUGGGCGUUAAGUUGCAGGGUAUAGACCCG
rnacentral:rRNA from 1 species